GACCCUUCGGGGAGCCUAUACAGGUGUUGCAUGGCUGUCGUCAGCUCGUGUCGUGAGAUGUUCGGUUAAGUCCGCUAACGAGCGCAACCCUCGUCGUAUGUUAUAUGUGUCAUACGAGACUGCCGGUAAAAAGCCGGAGGAAGGUGAGGAUGAUGUCAAGUCAGCAUGACCUUUAUAUCCAGGGCUACACACACGCUACAAUGGUCUGUACAAUGGGUAGCCAAGCCGCGAGGCGGAGCCAAUCCUGAAAGCAGGCCUCAGUUCAGAUUGCAGUCUGCAACUCGACUGCAUGAAGCCGGAGUUGCUAGUAACCGCAGGUCAGCAAUACUGCGGUGAAUACGUUCCCGGGUCUU
rnacentral:rRNA from 1 species